AGCUUUGCACUUUGGCAGUAUCAUAGCCAAUGAGGUUUAUCCAAGGUGUGAUUAUUACAAAAUGAAAACUUCCCAAUAUGCU
rfam:Dipodomys ordii contig_21715, whole genome shotgun sequence.